rnacentral:rRNA from 1 species
CCCCAGACUCCUACGGGAGGCAGCAGUGGGGAAUAUUGGGCAAUGGGCGCAAGCCUGACCCAGCAACGCCGCGUGAAGGAAGAAGGCUUUCGGGUUGUAAACUUCUUUUAAGAGGGAAGAGCAGAAGACGGUACCUCUUGAAUAAGCCACGGCUAACUACGUGCCAGCAGCCGCGGUAAUACGUAGGGAGCAAGCGUUGUCCGGAAUUACUGGGCGUAAAGGGCGCGUAGGUGGGCGCUUAAGUCAGGUGUGAAAACUCCGGGCGCAACCUGGAGACUGCAUUUGAAACUGGGUGUCUUGAGGGCAGGAGAGGAAAGUGGAAUUCCUAGUGUAGCGGUGAAAUGCGUAGAGAUUAGGAAGAACACCAGUGGCGAAGGCGAUUCUCUGGACUGUAACUGACGCUGAGGCUCGAAAGCGUGGGGAGCAAACAGGAUUAGAUACCCCAGUACAA